rnacentral:tRNA from 1 species
GUCAGGAUGGUCGAGUGGUCUGAAGUGCCAGACUCAAGACUCUGUCUUCCCUUCUAAUGGGUGUUCUGGUCUCGGUAUGGAGGCGUGGGUUCAAAUUCUACUUCUGACA